rnacentral:snRNA from 7 species
AUACUUACCUGGACGGGGUCGAUGGGCGAUCAUGAAGGCCCAUGACCUGGAUCAGUGGUCCACAUUGCACUUGGUGGACACGCUGGUCUACCAUCUCCCCAAGUGGGAGAGUGGACGUCAUAAUUUGUGCUAGAGGGGGUACGCGUUCGCGCGGCCCCUAC